GAGGUUGUAGCUCAGUGGCAGAGCACUUGCCUUGCAUGUGUGAGGCCCUGGGUUCAAUCCUCAGCACCACA
rnacentral:tRNA from 2 species